rnacentral:tRNA from 1 species
AAAGAAUUAGUUAAAAAUAUAACAUUAAUAUGUCAUAUUAAAAUUAUUUUAAUAUAAAUAUUCUUUU